rnacentral:tRNA from 1 species
GGGCGCUUAGCUCAGUUGGUAGAGCGUCUGCCUUACAAGCAGAAUGUCNAGCCUUUACGUUAAGAUCUCA